GCAGGUGCGAAAGCAGGUCAUAGUGAUCCGGUGGUUCUGUAUGGAAGGGCCAUCGCUCAACGGAUAAAAGGUACUCUGGGGAUAACAGGCUGAUACCGCCCAAGAGUUCAUAUCGACGGCGGUGUUUGGCACCUCGAUGUCGGCUCAUCUCAUCCUGGGGCUGUAGCCGGUCCCAAGGGUAUGGCUGUUCGCCAUUUAAAGAGGUACGUGAGCUGGGUUUAAAACGUCGUGAGACAGUUUGGUCCCUAUCUGCCGUGGGCGUUGGAUAUUUGAAGGGGGCUGCUCCUAGUACGAGAGGACCGGAGUGGACGAACCUCUGGUGUACCGGUUGUCACGCCAGUGGCAUCGCCGGGUAGCUAUGUUCGGAAGAGAUAACCGCUGAAAGCAUCUAAGCGGGAAACUCGCCUUAAGAUGAGAUAUCCCUGGGGACUAGAUCCCCUUGAAGGGUCGUUCGAGACCAGGACGUUGAUAGGUCAGGUGUGUAAGCGCAGUAAUGCGUUCAGCUAACUGAUACUAAUUGCCCGUAAGGCUUGAUCCUAUAACA
rnacentral:rRNA from 1 species